rnacentral:rRNA from 4 species
AAAUUGAAGAGUUUGAUCAUGGCUCAGAUUGAACGCUGGCGGCAGGCCUAACACAUGCAAGUCGAACGGUAACAGGAAGCAGCUUGCUGCUUUGCUGACGAGUGGCGGACGGGUGAGUAAUGUCUGGGAAACUGCCUGAUGGAGGGGGAUAACUACUGGAAACGGUGGCUAAUACCGCAUAACGUCGCAAGACCAAAGAGGGGGACCUUCGGGCCUCUUGCCAUCAGAUGUGCCCAGAUGGGAUUAGCUUGUUGGUGAGGUAACGGCUCACCAAGGCGACGAUCCCUAGCUGGUCUGAGAGGAUGACCAGCCACACUGGAACUGAGACACGGUCCAGACUCCUACGGGAGGCAGCAGUGGGGAAUAUUGCACAAUGGGCGCAAGCCUGAUGCAGCCAUGCCGCGUGUAUGAAGAAGGCCUUCGGGUUGUAAAGUACUUUCAGCGGGGAGGAAGGUGUUGUGGUUAAUAACCGCAGCAAUUGACGUUACCCGCAGAAGAAGCACCGGCUAACUCCGUGCCAGCAGCCGCGGUAAUACGGAGGGUGCAAGCGUUAAUCGGAAUUACUGGGCGUAAAGCGCACGCAGGCGGUCUGUCAAGUCGGAUGUGAAAUCCCCGGGCUCAACCUGGGAACUGCAUUCGAAACUGGCAGGCUUGAGUCUUGUAGAGGGGGGUAGAAUUCCAGGUGUAGCGGUGAAAUGCGUAGAGAUCUGGAGGAAUACCGGUGGCGAAGGCGGCCCCCUGGACAAAGACUGACGCUCAGGUGCGAAAGCGUGGGGAGCAAACAGGAUUAGAUACCCUGGUAGUCCACGCCGUAAACGAUGUCUACUUGGAGGUUGUGCCCUUGAGGCGUGGCUUCCGGAGCUAACGCGUUAAGUAGACCGCCUGGGGAGUACGGCCGCAAGGUUAAAACUCAAAUGAAUUGACGGGGGCCCGCACAAGCGGUGGAGCAUGUGGUUUAAUUCGAUGCAACGCGAAGAACCUUACCUGGUCUUGACAUCCACAGAACUUUCCAGAGAUGGACUGGUGCCUUCGGGAACUGUGAGACAGGUGCUGCAUGGCUGUCGUCAGCUCGUGUUGUGAAAUGUUGGGUUAAGUCCCGCAACGAGCGCAACCCUUAUCCUUUGUUGCCAGCGGUUAGGCCGGGAACUCAAAGGAGACUGCCAGUGAUAAACUGGAGGAAGGUGGGGAUGACGUCAAGUCAUCAUGGCCCUUACGACCAGGGCUACACACGUGCUACAAUGGCGCAUACAAAGAGAAGCGACCUCGCGAGAGCAAGCGGACCUCAUAAAGUGCGUCGUAGUCCGGAUUGGAGUCUGCAACUCGACUCCAUGAAGUCGGAAUCGCUAGUAAUCGUGGAUCAGAAUGCCACGGUGAAUACGUUCCCGGGCCUUGUACACACCGCCCGUCACACCAUGGGAGUGGGUUGCAAAAGAAGUAGGUAGCUUAACCUUCGGGAGGGCGCUUACCACUUUGUGAUUCAUGACUGGGGUGAAGUCGUAACAAGGUAACCGUAGGGGAACCUGCGGUUGGAUCACCUCCUUA